rnacentral:tRNA from 1 species
GCAUUGGUGGUUCAGUGGUAGAAUGCUGGCCUGCCACGCGGGCGCCCUGGGUUUGAUUCCCGGCCAAUGUA